UACGUAGGUGGCAAGCGUUGUCCGAUUUAUUGGGUUUAAAGGGUGCGUAGGCGGCUUUGUAAGUCAGUGGUGAAAUAUGGCAGCUCAACUGUCAGGGUGCCAUUGAUACUGCGGAGCUUGAGUACAGAUGAGGUAGGCGGAAUUGACGGUGUAGCGGUGAAAUGCUUAGAUAUCGUCAAGAACACCGAUAGCGAAGGCAGCUUACUAGGCUGUAACUGACGCUGAGGCACGAAAGUGUGGGGAUCAAACAGG
rnacentral:rRNA from 1 species